rnacentral:rRNA from 1 species
UACGGGAGGCAGCAGUGGGGAAUAUUGGACAAUGGGCGAAAGCCUGAUCCAGCCAUGCCGCAUGAGUGAAGAAGGCCUUCGGGUUCGUAAAGCUCUUUUAGUGAGAAAGAUAAUGACGGUACUCACAGAAGAAGUCCUGGCUAACUCCGUGCCAGCAGCCGCGGUAAUACGGAGAGGGCUAGCGUUAUUCGGAAUUAUUGGGCGUAAAGAGCGCGUAGGCUGAUUAGUAAGUUAAAAGUGAAAUCCCAAAGCUUAACUUUGGAAUUGCUUUUUAAAACUGCUAGUCUAGAGAUUGAAAGAGGAUAGAGGAAUUCCUAGUGUAGAGGUGAAAUUCGUAAAUAUUAGGAGGAACACCAGUGGCGAAGGCGUCUAUCUGGUUCAAAUCUGACGCUGAGGCGCGAAGGCGUGGGGAGCAAACAGGGAUUAGAUACC